rnacentral:rRNA from 1 species
CGAACGGGUGAGUAAUACAUCGGAACGUGCCCGAUCGUGGGGGAUAACGAAGCGAAAGCUUUGCUAAUACCGCAUACGAUCUACGGAUGAAAGCAGGGGACCGCAAGGCCUUGCGCGAACGGAGCGGCCGAUGGCAGAUUAGGUAGUUGGUGGGAUAAAAGCUUACCAAGCCGACGAUCUGUAGCUGGUCUGAGAGGACGACCAGCCACACUGGGACUGAGACACGGCCCAGACUCCUACGGGAGGCAGCAGUGGGGAAUUUUGGACAAUGGGCGAAAGCCUGAUCCAGCCAUGCCGCGUGCAGGAUGAAGGCCUUCGGGUUGUAAACUGCUUUUGUACGGAACGAAAAGACUCUGGUUAAUACCUGGGGUCCAUGACGGUACCGUAAGAAUAAGCACCGGCUAACUACGUGCCAGCAGCCGCGGUAAUACGUAGGGUGCAAGCGUUAAUCGGAAUUACUGGGCGUAAAGCGUGCGCAGGCGGUUAUAUAAGACAGAUGUGAAAUCCCCGGGCUCAACCUGGGAACUGCAUUUGUGACUGUAUAGCUAGAGUACGGCAGAGGGGGAUGGAAUUCCGCGUGUAGCAGUGAAAUGCGUAGAUAUGCGGAGGAACACCGAUGGCGAAGG